CCCCUUGCGUGCCGCAUCAUCCUUGCCUAUUUAAGGGAUGUCCUUCGGGACUAUGGACAUAAACGCGCUCGUAAUAAGCGGAUCGGACCCGGGGGCGGUACCCGGCGUCUCCACCAAACACCCUUCAUUUGGGGGCUAUGGGGACGAAAUAGGAUCGACGAACGUCUAAAGGGGUAAGCUUUGUCUCGGUGAGUUACCACCGUUAUCGGUACAAAUUGUAUAGUUGCAAAUGACAACAAUGCACCGAUGGCAGUCGCAGCGUAAGCUGUGCCUAAUAUCGAACCUUAACUCCUUAGGUUUUGCGACCUAGGGCGGGGUUCGCAGGUACCUGGCAACAGAAACCUGCACU
rfam:Roseobacter sp. CCS2 1101676645861, whole genome shotgun sequence.